rnacentral:rRNA from 1 species
GGCAGGAAACACCCCGCUUGUGCUUGAACCUUGCCUGGGAACGAUAACGGCGUCGAGCGGCGGACGGCCCGUAGUAAUGCCUAGGAAAUUGCCUUGAUGUGGGGGAUAACCAUUGGAAACGAUGGCUAAUACCGCAUAAUGCCUACGGGCCAAAGAGGGGGACCUUCGGGCCUCUCGCGUCAAGUAUAUGCCUCAGGUGGGAUUUAGCCUAAGUUUGUGUGAGGUAAUGGCCUCCACCAAAGCGGACCGAUCCCUAGCUGGUCCUGGAGAAGGAUGAUCCAGCCACACCUGAAACUGAGGACACCGGUCCAGACUCCUACGGGAGGCAGCAGUGGGGAAUAUUGCACAAUGGGCGCAAGCCUGAUGCAGGCCAUGCCGCCGUGUAUGAAGAAGGCCUUCGGGUUGUUAAAGUACUUUCAGCAGUGAGGAAGGGGGUGUUCGUUAAUAGCGGUCAUCUCUUGACGUUAGCUGCAGAAGAAAGCACCCGGCUAAACUCCGUGCCAGCAGCCGCGGUAAUACGGAGGGUGCGAGCGUUAAUCGGAAUUUACUGGGCGUAAAGCGCAUGCAGGUGGUUUGUUAAGUCAGAUGUGAAAGCCCGGGGCUCAACCUCGGAACUGCAUUUGAAACUGGCAAACUAGAGUACUGUAGAGGGGGGUAGAAUUUCAGGUGUAGCGGUGAAAUGCGUAGAGAUUUGAAGGAAUACCAGUGGCGAAGGCGGCCCCCUGGACAGAUACUGACACUCAGAUGCGAAAGCGUGGGGAGCAAACAGGAUUAGAUACCCUGGUAGUCCACGCCGUAAACGAUGUCUACUUGGAGGUUGUGGCCUUGAGCCGUGGCUUUCGGAGCUAACGCGUUAAGUAGACCGCCUGGGGGAGUACGGUCGCAAGAUUAAAACUCAAAUGAAUUGACGGGGGCCCGCACAAGCGGUGGAGCAUUGUGGUUUAAUUCGAAUGCAACGCGAAGAACCUUACCUACUCUUGACAUCCAGAGAACUUUCCAGAGAUGGAUUGGUGCCUUCGGGAACUUUGAGACAGGUGCUGCAUGGCUGUCGUCAGCUCGUGUUGUGAAAUGUUGGGUUAAGUCCCGCAACGAGCGCAACCCUUAUCCUUGUUUGCCAGCGAGUAAUGUCGGGAACUCCAGGGAGACUGCCGGUGAUAAACCGGAGGAAGGUGGGGACGACGUCAAGUCAUCAUGGCCCUUACGAGUAGGGCUACACACGUGCUACAAUGGCGCAUACAAAGGGCAGCCAACUCGCGAGAGUGAGCGAACCCCAAAAAGUGCGUCGUAGUCCGGAUUGGAGUCUGCAACUCGACUCCAUUGAAGUCGGAAUCGCUUAGUAAUCGUAGAUCAGAAUGCUAACGUGUGAAGAUCGCCUUUUCCCCCCCGGGA